rnacentral:misc_RNA from 2 species
AACGCACCUUGCGCUCCUUGGUAUUCCGAGGAGCAUGCCUGUUUGAGUGUCAUUAAAUACCUCAACCCCGAUGGAUUUGUUUCUUUCGGGGCUUGGACUUUGGAGCGUGCUGGCGCGAGUCGGCUCCUCUCAAAUGCAUCAGCGGAAAUCAAUCUUUGGCUUUCGGACUUCAGUGUGAUAAUCACGUUGCGCUGUGGCACGAGCCUCAAGGUCCGCUUACAAUGGUCUUUGGACGAUUUCAUCGAAUUUGACCUCAAAUCAGGUAGGACUACCCGCUGAACUUAA